rnacentral:rRNA from 1 species
CCUACGGGUGGCAGCAGUGAGGAAUAUUGGUCAAUGGGCGGGAGCCUGAACCAGCCAAGUCGCGUGAGGGAAGACGGUCCUAUGGAUUGUAAACCUCUUUAGGCGGGGAGCAAUGCCGGGCACGCGUGCCCGGAGGGAGAGUACCCGCAGAAUAAGCAUCGGCUAACUCCGUGCCAGCAGCCGCGGUAAUACGGAGGAUGCAAGCGUUAUCCGGAUUUAUUGGGUUUAAAGGGGGCGUAGGCGGAUUUUUAAGUCAGCGGGAAAAUGUCGGGGCUCAACCCGGGCCGGCCGUUGAAACUGGGGAUCUUGAGUGGGCGAGAAGUAUGCGGAAUGCGUGGUGUAGCGGUGAAAUGCAUAGAUAUCACGCAGAACUCCGAUUGCGAAGGCAGCAUACCGGCGCCCGACUGACGCUGAGGCACGAAAGCGUGGGUAUCGAACAGGAUUAGAUACCCGGGUAGUC